CCCUCUCUCUCUCUCUCUCUCUCUCUCUCUCUCUCUGUCCUAUAUUGGUUCAGGUUGUGGCAUAAGAAGGUGGGGUGUUGAGCAAGAUGGAGAAGCAGGGCACGUGCGUUACUAACUCAUGUCCACAUAUUAGUGACCCCAUUUUGCCUACACUUAGCAGUCGCUAAAGAGAUUUUGCGACAAUUUUUCACAAUUGGCCAAUGCAAAAAGUUUUUUUUUUUUUUUUUUUUUUUUUUUUUUUUUUUUUUUUUUAAAGUACUAUAAGGCAUAUAUCUUCAUCACUUCCAGCAGUUAUGGGUUGUCAACUAAUAUGCUUUUAGUACACCAUAAUGAGUUAGUACUUCAUGUGCCCCUCUUCCCCAUCAUGACCACUCGACCUUAAUCACCAUUCGAUAGCAAAUUAUUAGUUCGUUGGUUAUCGUUGUUGAAUCAUUCAAAGCAGUUCAUAUAUUCCGGCAAAGCUUCAUUUUCAGAAGAAGAGAAAGAAGAAGAAGAGGAAGGAUGAGGAAGAGAGAAGAGGAGCUGAGAGAAUGAGAGAACAAACAGAACAGAACAUCAUCAUCAUCUUCAUCUUCAUCUGUACAACAACAUCAUCUUCAUCAACAACACCCAUAGGGAUGGCAAUUUAAACCUGGCCCGACGGGGACCCGCCUCCCCGACCCUGAUUCGAGCGAUUUUUUCUCAAAAAAUACCCCUGAGGGGCCGGGGAUGGUAUUUAAAAAUGAAUCCCCGAUCACUUUCGGGCAGGGAACGGUGAUACGUUUUCCAGCCCCGUCCCCGGCCCGACCCCCGCCUCGCUUCUCCCCCCGAAAUAAAAUUACUACUUUACCCCUAUGUAUAUAUAUAUAUACAUAUAUAUGCGUGUCUUGAUCUUGGCAGAGCCACUUCGCUGCUGCGUGAGAAAAAGGGAGUGAGAGGAAGGGAAUGAAGGAAGGAGGGAGAAAGAGAGAGCCGAUCCUCCACCGUCGCCGAUCUCCUCCGCCGAGAGAAGAGAGCCGUCCUCUUGACAAUGCCGAUCUUCUCUACCUACUCCUUUGACGAUCUGCUCCGUUGCCCUUCUCCGCCGACUCCUUCGCCGAUCUCCUCUUCACAGCGUCGUCGAUCUCUAUCCCUCUCUCUUUCUCUGUGUUAUACACACACAUAUAUAUGUAUACAUAUUACAGAUUGAAGCUUAGAUCUUGAGAUCUAUGAUGAAUUGAUGAUGAUAAUGUUGUUGAUUUUUUUUUU